rnacentral:lncRNA from 1 species
GUAGGUCAAAGAAUCCUAAUGGUCCUAAUCCUAAGUGGGAGGGAGGCUGGAGGAGGCCAGAGAGGGAUGCUCUUUCUUCUGCAGUUUUCUCAACUUCCUUCAGUUUAAAACGCUCAGUACAUCAAGAGGUCAUAUUUUGGGGAUAUCAGGUUCUGAGCCCUGGGGAGGGAAAGUAAGACUUUCUGGAGGUUUUCUAUUUGCCUUUUUAGAUCCACUCCCACCUCCCACCCUGCUCUCGGCCCUGUGACCCUGACUGUGUGGCCCACUUUUCCAUCUACACUGGUCUUGGCCAUGGGACACCAGCAGGAGAUCAGAGGGAGUGGGGUGUGGUCAAGAGGUCACUUUGGAAAGGCUGCGUCCAUCCAUAGAGGACACCACCCUUCUUCAGAUGACCUCCGCAAGACUCUUUGUAGAUAGGGCCUGAGGGACCUUCCUAAAUCAAAGUCUCUCAUCACUCUCCAUUAUUUGUGUCAUAGCUGGAACUGUGUCCUCCAAAAUGCAGAAAUGUUUAUUCCUUCAAAAAACACAUUUGCUAAGUGGGACAAUGUGGAUGGAACACUCAGACCUUUGAAGAGGCUGAGAAUCAACUGGCAGAAAAUUAACAAUGAGAAAAGCUGG